ACCGGGAUGGACGCACCGCUGGUGCACCAGUUGUUCCGCCAGGAGCAUAGCUGGGUAGCUACGUGCGGACGGGAUAAGCGCUGAAAGCAUCUAAGCGUGAAGCCCCCCUCAAGAUGAGAUUUCCCAAUUAGUAAGACCCCUUGAAGACCACGAGGUUGAUAGGCCUGAGGUGGAAGUGCAGCAAUGUAUGGAGCUGACAGGUACUAAUCGGUCGAGGGCUUAUCCAA
rnacentral:rRNA from 1 species